UACGGAGGGUGCAAGCGUUAUCCGGAUUCACUGGGUUUAAAGGGUGCGUAGGAGGGCAGGGAAGUCAGUGGUGAAAUCUCCGGGCUUAACUCGGAAACUGCCGUUGAUACUCUCUGUCUUGAAUAUUGUGGAGGUGAGCGGAAUAUGUCAUGUAGCGGUGAAAUGCUUAGAUAUGACAUAGAACACCGAUUGCGAAGGCAGCUCGCUACACAUAUAUUGACUCUGAGGCACGAAAGCGUGGGGAUCAAACAGG
rnacentral:rRNA from 1 species